UACGUAGGGGGCAAGCGUUGUCCGGAAUUAUUGGGCGUAAAGAGCGCGUAGGCGGUCCGGUAAGUCGGUUGUGAAAGUCGGGGGCUCAACCCUCGGAUGCCGAUCGAUACUGCCGGGCUAGAGUCCGGAAGAGGCGAGUGGAAUUCCUGGUGUAGCGGUGAAAUGCGCAGAUAUCAGGAGGAACACCAAUGGCGAAGGCAGCUCGCUGGGCCAUUACUGACACUGAGAAGCGAAAGCAUGGGGAGCGAACAGG
rnacentral:rRNA from 1 species